UACAGAGGGGGCAAGCGUUAUUCGGAAUUAUUGGGCGUAAAGGGCGCGUAGGCGGCAUGGCAAGUGGAUGGUGAAAUCCCUCGGCUUAACCGAGGAACUGCCGUCCAAACUGCUUCGCUUGAGACCGGGAGAGGUGAGUGGAAUUCCCAGUGUAGCGGUGAAAUGCGUAGAUAUUGGGAGGAACACCAGUGGCGAAGGCGGCUUACUGGACCGGUUCUGACGCUGAGGCGCGAAAGCGUGGGGAGCAAACGGG
rnacentral:rRNA from 1 species